rnacentral:rRNA from 1 species
GAUGAACGCUGGCGGCGUGCUUAACACAUGCAAGUCGAACGGUGAAGGCGGAGCUUGCUCUGCUGGAUCAGUGGCGAACGGGUGAGUAACACGUGAGCAAUCUGCCCCUGACUCUGGGAUAAGCGCUGGAAACGGCGUCUAAUACUGGAUACGAGCUGCGAAGGCAUCUUCAGCAGCUGGAAAGAACUUCGGUCAGGGAUGAGCUCGCGGCCUAUCAGCUUGUUGGUGAGGUAACGGCUCACCAAGGCGUCGACGGGUAGCCGGCCUGAGAGGGUGACCGGCCACACUGGGACUGAGACACGGCCCAGACUCCUACGGGAGGCAGCAGUGGGGAAUAUUGCACAAUGGGCGAAAGCCUGAUGCAGCAACGCCGCGUGAGGGACGACGGCCUUCGGGUUGGAAACCUCUUUUAGCAGGGAAGAAGCGAAAGUGACGGUACCUGCAGAAAAAGCGCCGGCUAACUACGU